rnacentral:lncRNA from 1 species
CUGACAGAAAGUCCAGCAGAUUCCGCAGUAACUGCCUGCUGCCUGACAGAAAGUCCAGCAGAUUCCAGCAGUAACUGCCUGCUCCCUGGCAGAAAGUCCAGCAGAUUCCAGCAGUAAUAGCCUGCUGCUGACAGAAAGUCCAGCAGAUUCCAGCAGUAACUGCCUGCUCCCUGACAGAAAGUCCAGCAGAUUCCAGCAGUAAUAGCCUGCUGCCUGACAGAAGUCCAGCAGAUUCCAGCAGUAAUUGCCUGCUCCCUGACAGAAAGUCCAGCAGAUUCCAGCAGUAACUGCCUGCUCCCUGACAGAAGUUCAGCAGAUUCCAGCAGUAACAGACUGCUCCCUGACAGAAAGUCCAGCGAUUCCAGCAGUAACAGCAUGCUGCCUGACAGAAAGUCCAGCAGAUUCCAGCAGUAACAGCCUGCUUUCUGACAGAAAGUCCAGCAGAUUCCAGCAGUAACAGCCUGCUCCUGACAGAAAGUCCAGCAGUAACAGCCCUGUCUGACAAGAAGUCCAGCGAUUCCAGCAGUAACAGCCUGCUGCCUGACAGAAAGUCCAGCAGAUUCCAGCAGUAACAGCCUGCUUUCUGACAAAGUCCAGCAGAUUCCAGCAGUAACUGCCUGCUCCCUGACAGAAAGUCCAGCAGAUUCCAGCGUAACAGCCUGCUGUCUGACAGAAGUCCGCAGAUUCCAGCAGUAACUGCCUGCUGCCUGACUGAAAGUCCAGCAGAUUCCAGCAGUAACUGCCUGCUCCCUGACAGAAAGUCCAGCAGAUUCAGCAGUAACUGCCUGCGUUCUGACAGAAAGUCCAGCAGUUCCAGCAGUAACAGCCUGCUUUCUGACAGAAAAUCCAGCAGAUCCAGCAGUAGCAGCCUGCUGCCUGGUUGGUUCACAGAGCGAAAUCCUCCACAUCGUCUCUCCGUGUCACGCUGGCUGAUUCUGUUGGGCGGCAUCCCACUCACUGAGAGUGGCCACAGGGAUGAUUACAGCGCCAACUGAAUGGCUGGACAGAUACAGAUGCAGGACACUAUCCAUAAAACUUGGUUCCAUUGGUGUCAUAGACUGUAAUACUAUGUGAAUCCUCCAUUAUUCAGACAUCACUAACUGUAUUGUGUAAAUGUGAAAUGACUGACUGAGUAAUACUGUAAAAGUCUUGAGCUAAUUGUGUGUUUUGAUUCCCUCGUAGGUCUCUAAUUCCCUGCCUGAUGUUGGGAAGAUUAUGUUUUGACAGCCUGGCCUACAGGAUGCGAUAGCAGGACAUGCUGCCACUACAGUGGUUUGUUUCACUUGAUCUGCCUGACAACAUAACGAUGAUGAUGAUCCAAGAGUGAAGCACCAGAAAGAAAUGAAGAAGAGGGUAGGAGGACUAGGACUCCCCCCCCCCCCCCCCCCUCUGAAAAUCAUAUUCUGGGAUCCUCUGUAUUAAUGUAGCUCGUUUUAGACUACUACACUGUUUAUCCUACAGUUACUCUGUAUUAAUGUAGCUCGUUUUAGACUACUACACUAUUUAUCCUAUAGUUCUUUGUAUUAA